CCUACGUGGGGCAGCAGUGGGGGAUAUUGCACAAUGGGGGAAACCCUGAUGCAGCGACGCCGCGUGUGGGAAGACGGUCCUCUGGAUUGUACACCACUGUCCCCAGGGACGAAGAUGACGGUACCUGGGGAGGAAGCUCCGGCUAACUACGUGCCAGCAGCCGCGGUAAUACGUAGGGAGCGAGCGUUGUUCGGAAUGACUGGGCGUAAAGGGUGUGUAGGCGGUGUAGCAAGUUAGAAGUGAAAUACCUAGAGCUUAACUCAGGUGCUGCUUCUAAAACUGCUAUACUUGAGUGCAGUAGAGGAAAGUGGAAUUCCUAGUGUAGCGGUGGAAUGCGUAGAUAUUAGGAGGAACAUCAGUGGCGAAGGCGACUUUCUGGACUGUAACUGACGCUGAGGCACGAAAGUGUGGGGAGCAAACAGGAUUAGAUACCCGAGUAGUC
rnacentral:rRNA from 1 species